rnacentral:ncRNA from 2 species
UAUCCAUCCCGAGCGGCUGAGAGACCUGGCUCGCCGAAGCCGCAGCAACCACCCCACCCGGGCGCAGGUGCUAACGCCAGGACCGAUGGAGG